GAGAAGGUUCCAAGGGUUCGGCUGUUCGCCGAUUAAAGGUGGCACGCGAGCUGGGUUCAGAACGUCGUGAGACAGUUCGGUCCCUAUCUGUGGUGGGCGUAAGAAGAUUGACGGGGGCUGCCCUUAGUACGAGAGGACCGGGGUGGACUCACCGCUGGUGAACCGGUUGUUGUGCCCACGGCACGGCCGGGUAGCUACGUGGGGUUUGGAUAAGCGCUGAAAGCAUCUAAGUGCGAAGCCGGCCCGGAGAUGAGUCUUCUAUGAAGGACGUUGGAGACGACGACGUUGAUAGGCGGCAGGUGCAGGGCGUGAGAGCGCUAAAGCCGAGCCGUACUAAUGACCUGAAGGU
rnacentral:rRNA from 1 species